AGCACGUGAAGCUUCCCUUUGUUCAUCCGAGGCUCGCUUUUCUCCCCAGCAGAUCCACCUGGAUGCUCUCCCUCGGUGACAUUUUGCGCCGGGGUUGGUGGGUGGCUGGGGUGGAGCGAGAGGAGCCCGAGGGGGCGGGGGCGGAGAAAGGUCAAGCCGAGGGAAAGGCAGGAGACGCCUUUCCUAACCUGCGUGGCGGGGCGUGCGCGCGGUUAUUUAUUUAUUUUCUCCUUAUUUAUUGAUCGCACUAGCAGAGCAGCGCGGGGAGCCCGGGGAGAUGCAGGACCACCCACUGGCGG
rnacentral:lncRNA from 10 species